AUACGGAGGGUGCAAGCGUUAAUCGGAAUUACUGGGCGUAAAGCGCGCGUAGGCGGCUUGCCAAGUUGGAUGUGAAAGCCCUAGGCUCAACCUGGGAACUGCAUUCAAAACUGGUUGGCUAGAGUACAGUAGAGGUGAGUGGAAUUUCCGGUGUAGCGGUGAAAUGCGUAGAUAUCGGAAGGAACAUCAGUGGCGAAGGCGACUCACUGGGCUGAUACUGACGCUGAGGUGCGAAAGCGUGGGGAGCAAACAGGAUUAGAAACCCGUGUAGUCC
rnacentral:rRNA from 1 species